UACAGAGGGUGCAAGCGUCAAUCGGAAUUACUGGGCGUAAAGCGCGCGUAGGUGGUUCGUUAAGUUGGAUGUGAAAGCCCCGGGCUCAACCUGGGAACUGCAUCCAAAACUGGCGAGCUAGAGUACGGUAGAGGGUGGUGGAAUUUCCUGUGUAGCGGUGAAAUGCGUAGAUAUAGGAAGGAACACCAGUGGCGAAGGCGACCACCUGGACUGAUACUGACGCUGAGGUACGAAAGCAUGGGGAGCAAACAGGAUUAGAUACCCCGGUAGUCC
rnacentral:rRNA from 1 species